AUAUAGUGCUUCCUAUUCCUCUCUCCUCUCUUCUUUUGACCAGCAUUGGAUGCAGACAUGCCUCUGCUUGCUUCAGCUUUAGGCACAUGCCUGAAGCUCGUUGUACUGUAUAUAUAUCUUUUUCCUGCAUAGUUUUUACUACUGCCAUUGCUGUGAACCAAUGCAAGAUUAUGCUGUGAUCCUGCAAGGCAAGAGUUCUUGGGCAGGAUCAGCACCCUCCAGCAGAGAACACUUCUGCAUGCUGACCCUCACGUUGCCUGGGUGGGAGAUGCUGCUCCUCGCUGGUCCAGAGGAAAGAGGCUUCCAGCAAGAGGUGAUGAAGACAGCUGCAACACUUAAACUUAGUAGCUUGUUGUAGGGAUGCUUUGUUCUGGCCUCCCCAGUUUGAGAGAGGGAGUAGAGUGUUUUGACCUGAUGUCCCAAGACAAAGUACCUGUAAGAGGUCUGGGAAAGAAGUGUUACCAAUGUGCUCUUUUUAUAUAUGCAUGACACGAGAUCAGAGCAGUAAAGUCUCAUGCCCCGUCA